rnacentral:lncRNA from 1 species
GCCCCGGGGCUCCGCGCCCCUGGCCCGCGCCCCGCGCCGCGCCUGGCCCCGAGCUCAGGCCCCGGCUCCCCGGCCCGGCCGCCCCGCGGGCCCCUCGCAGAAGUUUUGAUCGUCUUCGAAACAAAUCCCUCUGCUCCACCCCCUUGAAAAAUUGAUUUGGGAGUUGGGGAGCGAAGGCUUUCUUUUUUCUCCUCUGCCUUCUUUAUUAUUAAUAUUUUGUAAAGCUCCAGCGCUACGAGGAGUGGCCCCGAGCGAGGCCAGACUGCGCGGACGGCAGGGAGCGCGGCGGCUCCGCCAGGGGACGGCGCCGGCCGGGAGUGGCCGCUUGGGAACCCCCGACUGUCGGCCGAGGGUUGUCGAGAGGCUGAAACAUAAGUGCUCACCACAACACCCAGCACCUACCAGGCCUCUAUACAUAUUUGCAAGACUCCAUCUCAAGUAGUCAUAAUAAUUGGAUGGAAGAGGGGCCAUGCUACCAAGACUUGGGGAGAACACAGCUCCCUGCUUCUCCUUCAACCAGGGCUUGAGGGCAAACAGACCCCCUGGGCUCACCUGCGUACCUUCCUCCAGGGCAGGCGAAGCUUAGCUCCAGGAAGGUGUGAGCUGGGCGCAGGAGACCUCCAGGCAGUGCCUAGAGGCCCGGCACAGCCUUUGCCACUGGCCCUGCUCUAGAGCCUGGGCCUGCAAGUAGCUGCUCAGAGCUGGACCCUGGCGGGGACACAGAAUUAGGGGCGUUAGCCCAUUACAUCAAAAGCAACCACGUGGGAUUCUCAAGAUGUCACAUAUUUUAAAAUUUAUUUUCUUCAAGAAUCUUUGGCUUUCUUGCCAAAUGGAUGGGCUGGAUUAUUUCUGCAGCCUGUCUGGAACCGGGAGCUUCCCCAGCUGAGGACCACAGUGAGAGCAGAGAAGACCCAGGAUCGUAUUUGAAACCAUAAAAGCCACAUGAAGACACUAAGAAUAACUUGCAGAAAGACAUUUUCUAUGAAUUGAACACAGAGUCCCAAAACCCAGAAAGUUCCCUGGUCUCUAUCUCAUGGGCCCGUGUCUGGGGAAGGGGGCCCGAUGUGAGGCUGGGGCCAGUGCCCAUCCUAUUUGAUCUUUAUCUUAAAUCCACUUCAAAAUGCUGUGGCUUGGUGGAUUGAAGGUUCGCCCCUUCCUGUAAUUAUUUGGUGUCUGGUAAAGUUUUUAUGAGUGUUUGUGCAAAUACAUGCAUUUGAUGUGCAUUUGUUUUGGUUAGUACCGCUUUAUGUAGGAGGUGUGUGCAUCUCCUGUUGGCCCUCAGAAAAGAAAAGAAAAAUAAAACCGAGACUUCUGGACCAGGCAGAGGGGUGGAGCUGGGGCAAUUCCACUGCCAACCACAACCCCUGUGACGUCAGGGGCUCCUGGGCACCAGUGACGAUACAAGUUGGUAGCCUUUGGGUUUACCUUGUGAGGGUGAUCAGGGCUGGCAGUCGGCUGGUGAAAUCCAGAUUCUAGGAAGCCUUUUUUUGAAACAUAACUGGAUCUGCCUCUUUUGCUUUUUUUUUUUUUUUUUUUUAAGACACAGUCUCGCUCAGUCAACCAGGCUGGAGUGCAGUGGUGCGAUCUCAGCUCACUGCAACCUCCUCCUCCCAGGUUCAAGUGAUUCUCUCACCUCAGACUCCCAGGUAGCUGGGAUUAUAGGCACCUGCCACCAUGCUUGGCUAAUUUUUUUGUGUAUUUGGUAGAGACGGGGUUUCACCAUAUUGGUCAGGCUGGUCUCGAACACCUGACCCCAGGUGAUCCGCCUAUCUCUGCCUCCCAAAGUGCUGGGAUUACAGGUGUGAGCCACCACACCCGGCCUGAGUCUGCCUUUUGAUUACUGUCCUCUGGGCAUUCUUGGUAAAGUAAAAUGUAUAAUAAGUAAGGGUGAGUUUUUGGGGGGACUUUAUCAUGUAAGUGACAGAACUUGUCUGUUUCUCUAGAAUGUGAGCUCAGCAGAUCUGGCUAAGAGGAGCUGUGGCUGUCCAGCCUUCUCUGGAUAAGGCAGCAGGGUGGGGCAGGAUGGGUGUUCCUCCUGUGUGGCUGAGGAAGCACCUGCCCCCUAAGGGUGUCAGGGGCCAAGAGCACCCAUGCCUGCCUCACGUCCCCAGCCCAGAGUCAGAAGGCAGCCUGCAGGUGUGUUCAGCUUGGCCCCUAUAGGUAGUCUUUUCUCCCAGCACUGCAGCCUUGAUUUAUUUGCUUUAAAAUUAUUCUAGCAUUUUUAUUGAAGUAUAAUACACAGUAGAAAAGUGCACGAAGCAUAGGAUUACAAAGAGGACAUGCCCAUGCCACCAACACCCAGAUUAAGAGAGAGAAUGUUGCUGGCUUCCUGAAAUCCUUCAUGUUCCCUCCCAGGCACCACCCACCUCCCUCAAAGGAAACCACUAUCUUGGUUUUGCCUGUUGUGAAUUUUCUAUAAAUGGAAUCAUCCUAUAUACUCCUUACCAUACUUUAAUCAUGAGAUUUUGCGUGAAAAUUUUGCGUGGAUUUUUCUCCUGAAUAAUCAGAGGUCUGAUCACUUUGGACCCUCAUUCCAGCAGCAUGCUGACAAGCUGGACCUAAAUUUGUCCUUCCCACCUCCAUCCUAGGCAGGACACCCACUGGAUUCCGUUUGCCAGGGAGCAUUUGUCUUGGUCACUCCAGCUGUCAACCUUUGGCUCCUCCCCUGGUCUUCAGCCCAUCCCCAAAAGGAAUCACUGUAUGUACACUGGGGAACUGCAUCCAGAACCUUCUCUCACCCCACCCCUCCAUCUGCAUCCAGUACCCUUUGAGGCAGAGAUCAUGAGACCUUAAAGAGGUGAGGAAAUUGGCACCUCAGAGAGGUGAAGUCACUUGCCCAGGGCCACACAGUGUUGUAAAGGUCAGAUCCUGGAUUCAAACCCUACUGGCCUGACUCCAAACCCCAGGCUCUUGUCAUCUCCCCACAAGGCUCCCUCGGGCAUCCAGACCCAGGCGUGAACAGUCCCCUCCUGCCUCCUUCCAGUGGGGAGGAAGCUGGACUUUUUCCAAAGGAAACGCUGGGAAACACAAAGCCCCAAACAGAAAACAGGGCAGGGAUGGUUCCCAGGCCCUGGCUGCCUAACCUUGGGUGAUGCAAGGCUAGUCUGGUCUAGGCUGGUCUGGACUGGUGCAGCCUCCCCAGGUGCGUCAAGGGAAGGUGGCAUCAUGCCAUGCACUGAGUGUCCACCACGGGCCGGGCACUUCAUCUGUCAUUCCCCAAUACUCACAAUGUACCUGUGAGGUUUGUAUUAUUAUUUAGCCCCAUUUUACAGAUGAGAAAACUGAGGUUCAGAGAGGUUGAAUGUCCUGCCUUAGACCACAGCGUCUGAGUGGCUGAACUGGGUUUUGAAUGCGUUGAGAAUGGCUUCCAUGCCGUGACACUGUGCUACCCUGACACUGUGCUACCCUGGCCCUGUUCUCCUUGGCCUACCUCUCUUCUCGAGCGACCUCCACUCUCCUGUGGUCGUGAAGCUGUGACCAGGUGCUUGGUGAUUUUGCAAGUGGCUCCUGCAACUAAACCUCAAGCCAGGCCAGCUAGACUCCAGGCCUGAGGUGGAUGGCCUCAGUCUGCUUAUCUGGAAAGUGGGGAUAAUAUUACUGCUUUCUUUUAUUUAUUUAUCUACCUAUCUAUUUAUUUAGAUUUUUGAGACAGAGUCUCACUCUGUUAUCCAGGCUGGAGUGCAGUGGCAUGAUCUCAGCUCAUUGCAAAUUCCACCUCCCAGAUUCAAGUGAUUCUCCUGCCUCAGCCUCCCCAUUAGCCGAGAUUACAGGCACCUGCCACCGUGCCCGGCUAAUUUUUGUAUUUUCAGUAGAGACGGGGUUUCACCAUGUUGGCCAGGCUGGUCUUGAACUCCUGACCUCAGGUGAUCCAUCCAGCUUGGCCUCCCAAAGUGCUGGGAUUACAGGUGUGAGCCACCAUGCCCGGCCUACUUUCUAUUAUUAUCUGGAAGUUUAACAAAGUCUGUAGACUUCUGAAUCUGGAAGAAUUAGCAGUCGCCUGUUAGAGUGGGAAGAGGGCUCACGGAUGUGCAGGGGUCCUGAAGCAGGAAAGAACUUGAUCCGCUGGAGGCCCAUGUGGCUGGGUCAGAGCAGGCUCUGGUGUGGCUGCAGGUAUGGACAGUGGCCUGACCACAGGGCAUUGUAGGUCACAAUGAGGCGUGUGGACCUGAUCCUCAGGGGGAACCUGAGUAGGAGCCACGGAAGAGUUGAAACAGGGCAGUGUCCUGGUCAAGUUUGGUUUUUAGGAAGAUCUCUCAGGCCGCGGUGAGGGCGAGACCAUAGUCUGGAGGCCAAGGGAUGAGGCCUUUGGGUUUCAAUAUCCCUUUUGUAUGGAAUGAGGUUGGGCGGUCCACAGACCAGACCUUAUCCUCCAAUUUCCCAUAGAGGCUGUGUUUCCAGAUUCAGGGUUUCAUGUUACACAGAGUUAUUCUUUCUGGAAUGUGUCCCCCAAGCAACCCCGCUGGACCCUCUGUGGAAGGAGGGGCUCUUCUGAAUGCAAGAUUCGCAUGUAUGCAAAAAAGCAAACAUGCCAGCCCUGCGCCUUGCUAGUGUCUGUCCCUGAAACAGAACCAGCAACCAGCGGACAAAGCAGUGCCCAGGAGUUGGGCCAGGCUGCAAACAUCAUCAACAACAGUAAUAGUAAUAAUAAUAACCUUUAUUAAUAAAGCCUCUGACCUAGAAUGAUCUCAUGGAAUCCUAGAGUAAGGCUGGGACGUAGCUGUCAUUACAAUUGUAUGAAUAAAGAGACUUGUGGGUAGGGGGGCCUUGUCCAAGGUCGCUGAGUGGCAGAACCAGGCGGGUGGCCGCAGCCCUGACACUGUCACCUGUGGGCUGGGCAGCCUCAGAGGGGUGGUGAGUCAGGCAUAUUGUUGAGCUCUGUGGGAUCUAGACAGCCCUGCAACUGUCCCCAGUGUGCAGAAAAGCCAGAAAAUUCCAUCUUGGCGUCCUGACCUCCACCUCCGCUCCAGCUCACACAAUCUGCCCAGUUGAGUUAUUCUCCCUGGAAGAGCUUGGUAAUUUGGGCUUUUCCAAACUCAGGAAAAGCCUCCAAGUCUAGAAUCCUCCCCGUGGCCUCUCCCUGGCCUCAUCUCUUCCUCCCUCCCCUUGGCUCUCCAUGCUACGCUGAGUGCCGAGCACAUUGGCCUGAUUUCUGUUUCUCAAGCAGCUCAUACUCUGUCCUGCCUCCAGGCUUUGAAUGGGUCGUUCCCUUCACCUGGAAAGCCCUCUUCACUCCCUCUUCCUAGCUUAUUCCUGUUCAUCCUUUCUGUCUCAAUGUAAAGGUCACCUCCUCCUGGAAGCCUUCCUUUACCUCCCAGGCUAGCUUAGAGCUACCUCUUACAUGUUCUCAGCAACCCGUGAUUGUGAUUCUCCUUCAUGGUGAGAUGGGGUUGCAUGUCUUUUUCAUUCCUCAUUCUACGCCCUCGCAGUCUCAGAGAGAAACCCAGGAACAAUGAGAAAGGAGUGAUGGGGAGGUUGCUCUUCAGUGUCAAGGCGGUGGAAGGGGAUCUAUGAGAUGGAGAAGGGACAUAUACCCUUGAAUAUUACAUAGUCCACGUUGUGCUGGUUCUGUAGCUGGGGAUAUGCCUUUCCCAUGUAGAUCAGCCAAAGACUCAAGGCAAAAAACAACAGGCCAGCUUCCCACUGGGGCCCAUUGUGGGGGCAAUUGUAAGGUGACAGUCCCGAGGAGACUCUGCCAAAGGAAAACUGCAUUUUCAGGAUAUGGGGGUACAAGAGCUUUUAAAAAUAUAUGUUUUCUACCAUUUCUUUGAGCAGCUCUUCCCAUUUAUUUAUUUAUUUAGAGACAGAGCCUCCAUCUGUUGCCCAGGCUGGAGUGCAGUGGUGCCAUCUCAGCUCACUGCCACCUCCGCCUCCUGGGCUCAAGUGAUUUUUGUACCUGGGCCUCCCGAGUAGCUGGGAUUGCAGGCGUGCGCGACCAUGCCCAGCUAAUUUUUGUAUUAUUAGUAGAGAUGGGGUUUUGCCAUCGUGGCCAGGCUGGUCUCGAACUCCUGACCUCAAGUGAUCUGUCCGCCUCGGCCUCCCAAAGGCUGGGAUUACAAGCUUGAGCCAUUGCACCCAGCCACCUCUUAACGUUUAAAUAAAAGAAUAUUAACAAGUGCAACAGAGCCUGGCUUGGUGACUUAUGCCUGUAGUCCCAGAUACUCAGGCGGCUGAGGUGGGAGGACCUUUUGAAUGCAGUUCAAGGCCAGCCUGGGCAACAUGGCGAGGCCCUGUCUCUGAAAAAAAAAGUGAGGUGGGGGGCAACAAAAUACAAGCUUUUUAAACAGUAAAUAUUCUCUGCUUUUAGGAAGUGCCCUAUUGGAGAGGAGAGAAAGCUUUGUGAGAAUCUUGGAGCCCUGAGCUCUGGAUUCUCGUCUGUGUGGACCCCAGAACAGUCCAGGAGUUCCUGAGAGAGCCAAGGGUGUCUGGGGGAGAGCCUGGUGGUGAUGGGAGAUGAUUCCACACAUGCUCUAAACAUGCCAGAAGCAAUAGGAGGUACCUUUGUAUUUUCCUAAUUAAAAGAUUACCCCCUCCGCCCCCCACCCACCAGGACUGGGCACAGUGGCUCAUGUCUGUAAUCCCAGCACUUUGAAAGACCGAGCUAGGAGGAUAGCUUGAGGCCAGGAGUUUGAGACCAGCCUGGGAAACAUAGAAAGACCUCAUCUCUACAAAAAAUUUAGAAGUUAGCCAGGCAUGGGAGCAUGUAUCUAUAGUCUUAGCUACUCAAGAGGCUGAAGUGGGAGGAUCGCUUGAGGCCAGGAGUUUGAGGUUACCACUGCACUCCAGGCUGGGCAACAGAGCAAGACCUUGUCUCUGAAAACAAAACAAAAAACCCCAAGUAUUUUUUGGCCAAUUUAAGUUUAUAAAAACCCUCAAAAACUCAAGACAAUGAAACCGUCACAUACCUACUUAAAAUAUUAAAUUUAUGAGUUUGGUACUACCUGCAAAAUUACAAUUUUUAUAGUAAUUUUGGGUGUUUGUAGCAGUAACCUGAAAAAUAGGUUUAAAAUAAGAUCAUAUAUAUAAACAUUGGUUUUUCUUUUUCUUUUCUUUUCUUUUUUUUUUUUUUUUUUUUUUUGAGACAGUCUCAUUCUGUCGCCAGGCAGGAGUGCAGCAGCAUGAUCUCGGCUCACUGCAACCUCUGCCUCCUGGGUUCAAGCGAUUCUCCUGCCUCAGCCUCCAGAGUAGCUGGGAUUACAGGCACCCGCCACCACGCCUGGAUAAUAUUUUGUAUGUAUUUUUAGUAGAGACAGGGUUUCACCAUGUUGUCCAGGCUGGUCUUGAACUCCCGGUCUCAAGCGAUCCGCCUGCCUCAGCCUCCCAAAGUGCUGGAAUUACAGAUGAGAGCCACCGUACCCGGCCUGAAAUAUUGCCUUUUCUUGCAGUUUCUGAAACAAUUUAAUUUCAAACCCUUCAGCUGCAUUUUUUUGUUAUUAUCUUUUAAUUUUGGUGAAGUAUACAUAACAUGAAAUUUACCGUCUUCACCAUUCGUAUGUGUACAGUUCAGUGACAGUAAGUACAUUCCCGUUGUUAUACAACCAUCACCACUAUUUGUCUCCAGUACUCUUUUCAUUUUGUAAAACAAACUGUAUGCAUUAAAGGAUAACUCCCCAGUGCCCUCCCCUGACCUAGUCCCUGGCAGCCACCGUUCUGCUUUUUCUGUCUCUGCAUUUGACUACUCUUAGGUGCCUCAUGGAGGUGGAAUUGUACAUAUUUGUGCAUGUGUGACUGGCUUAUUUCACCUAACAUAAUGUCUUCCAGGGUCAUCCAUGUUGUAGCAUGUAUCAGAAUUUACCUCCUUUUUAAGGCUGAAUAAUAGUGUAUUAUGUGUAUAUAGCUCACAUUUUGUUUAUCCAUUCAUCUGACAGUGGACUCUUGAGUUGCUUCCGUUGCUUCGUUAUUGUGAAUAAUGCUGCAGUGAACAUGGGUGUGCAAAUACCUCUUUGAGUCCCUGCCAUCAGUUAUCUUGUGUAUAUACCCAGAAGUGGUUUGCUAGACCUAUAGUAAUUCAAUUUUUAAGUUUUUUAAGUAAACUGCCGUACUGUUUUCCAUAGUGGUUGCACCAUUUUGUAUUCCUUUCAAUGGUGCACAGGGUUCCAAUUUCUCCACAUUCUGUUUUUUGUUUGUUUGUUUGUUUGUUUUUGAUAGUAGCCAUCCUAGUGGGUAUGAGGUGGUAUCUCAUUGUGGUUUUGAUUUGCAUUUCCCUAAUGAUUAGUGAAGUUGAACAUCUUUUUUAUGUUCUUAUUGGCCAUUUGUAUAUCUUCUUUGGAAGCAUAUCUAUCCAAGCCCUUUCCCCAUUCUUUAUUUAUUUAUUUAUUUAUUUAUUUAUUUAUUUUGAGAUGGAGCCCUGCUCAGUUGCCCAGACUGGAGGGCAGUGGCACGAUCUCGGCUCACUGCAACCUCUGCCUCCCAGGUUCAAGCCAAUUCUCCUGCCUCAGCCUCCGGAGUAGCUGGGAUUACAACUGUGCACCACCACGUCCGGCUAAUUUUUGUAUUUUCGUGGAGACGGGGUUUUACCAUGUUGGCCAGGCUGGUCUCGAACUCCUGACCUCAGGUGAUCUGCCCACCUCAGCCUCCCAAAGUGCUGGGAUUGCAGGCAUGAACCACCGUGCCUGGCCCCCUUUCUCCAUUCUUUAAUUGGGUUGUUUGUUUUUUUGUGAUUGAGUUGUAGGAGUUCUUUAUAUAUUCUGGAUAUUAACUCCUCAUCACAUAUAUGGUUUGCCAAUGUUUUCUCCCAUUUCACGGGUUGCCAUUUCACUUUGUUGACUGUAUCUUUUGAUGCACAGAAAUUUUACAUUUUGACAAAGUCCAAUUUAUUUUUUCGUUUGUUGCUUGUGCUCUACCUACUGCGUGCAUGUGUGUGUCUGUGUAACAGGGUCUUACUCUGUCUCCCAGGCUUGAGUGCAGUUGUGCAAUCUUGGCUCACUGCAGCCUUGAUCUCCUGGGCUCAGCAAUCAUCCCACCUCAGCCUCCAGAGUAGCUGGGACUACAGGCGAGUGCCACCACACUGGCUAAUUUUUGUAUUUUUAGUUGAGACAGAGUGUUGUCAUGUUGCCCAGUCUGGUCUUGAACUUCUGGGCUCAAGCAAUCUGCUGGCUUCAUCCUCCCAAAGCGCUGGGAUUACAGGUGUGAGUCACCUUGCUCAGUCUCUACCUGCAUUUUUGAAUCUGUGUCCUUUGUCAUUACCUGGCUACUUUUUGAGACGUCCAUCAUUUUCUAGCGUACCUGUCUCCAGUUCUCUAAGUUGUUUGUUACAAAUUCUUACACGGUGCUAAAAUUAUCCCAAGCCAAAAAUAACUGUUUGCUGAACAUUAGGCUACUAGGUUACUUUUAUUCUUCUGGUAAGUAUAAAUUCAUACUCUGCACACCUUUUUUAUUGUGUUACAAAAUGGGCAGUAAAAGGCUUGUUUGCAACAAUAUCCAUCCCCUGUGUGCAUGAGACCACACUCCCUGGAGAAAUUCUAAAGCUACAACAAAAUUACCUGAUCUUUCUUUUAGCACAUUUGUCAGGUUACUGCCAUUAGCAUCCAAAAUGAGCAUCUAGUGAGGCCAUUUCAGGCUAAUGCGUCUUUCCCAAAUAGCAUUCUAUUGGUCAAAAUGAAGUAAUUGGGAAUGUGUCCCAUGAUAUAGCAUACUCUCUAAGCGGUCAAAUCUAAGGAAUAAUUUUUGGGGAAAAGCCCUGCUUUAUAUUCUGGCUAGGCCUAACAACGAUAACAAUAACAGCAGUAGAAAUAACCACCAUAUGUUGGGUAUCACUCUAGCCUGGCGCUGAGCUCAGUGCUUCACACAUACUCUCACACUGAAUCCACAAAACAGCCUGAUCGGAAGAUUCUCAUUGAUAUGGUUUGGCUGUCUGUCCCCUCCCAAAUCUCAUCUCCAGUUGUAAUCCCCACGGGUCGAGUGAGGGGCCUGUAAUCCCUACGUGUCGAGGGAGGGAGGUGAUUGGAUCAUGGGGGCAGUUUCCCCCAUGCUGUUCUCAUGAUAGUGAGUGAGUUAUCAGGAGAUCUGAUGGUUUUAUACGUGUUUGGAAGUUCCUUCCUCACUCUUCUCUCUCCUGCCGCCUUGUGGUGAAGGUGCCUGCCUCCCCUUCGCCUUCCACCAUGAUUGUAAGUUUCCUGAGGCCUCCUCAGCCAUAAGGAACUGUGCGUCAAUUAAACCUCUUUAGUUUAAAAAUUAUCCAGUCUCAGGUAUUUGUUUAUAGCAGUGUGAAAACAGACUAAUACACUCAUACUGUUCCCAAUCUACAAGUGGGGAAAUUGAGGCUCAGGCAGGUAAAGGCACAUGCCCACCAGCCACACAGGUUCUGAUGGGUAGAUCUGGAAUUUGAACCCAUGUCUCUCAGAGCCCAGGCUCUUGUUUGUUUGUUUGUUUGUUUGUUUAUUUUUGAGACGGAGUCUUGCUCUGUCACCUAGGCUGGAGUGCGGUGGCGUGAUCUUGGCUCACUACAACCUCUGCCUCCCAGGUUCAAGCGAUUCUCCUGCCUUAGCCUCCUGAGUAGCUGGGAUUACAGGUGCCCAUCACCAUGCCCGGCUAAUUUUUGUAUUUUUAGUAGAGACGGGUUUUUACCAUGUUGGCCAGGCUUGUCUUGAAUGCCUGACCUCAGGUGAUCCACCUGCCUUAGCCUCCUAAAGUGCUGGGAUUACAGGCAUGAGCCACUGUGCCUGGCCUAUUUAUUUAUUUAUUUAUUUUUAUGGACGUGGAGUCUUGCUGUGUUGCCCAGGCUGGCCUUGAAUUCCUGGGCUCAAGUGAUCCUCUCGCCUAAGCCUCCCAAGUAGCAAGCUUUUAAUCAUCACAUGACUCUGCUUUUAUCCACAUGAUUUAUGCCUGCUGUGAGUGCCCUAGCACCGCACGUGCCCCAGAGAGAAACCUGCCCAGGUAGCUGGGUUUGCAGUGCUCCUACCUUGAACCUGCCAAGUCAGCUGCAGUGCUGGGGCCCAGACCCAGCUUUGUUCCCUCUGCCCCAUGGUUGGUGGUCCUUCCUGGGAGGCAGGCUGAUCCAAUGAAGGCACAUCGUAUGUGGCUCCUCCUCACCCCUUAUCAGGCAGUUUAGAACCAACUCACCAACAUACUUGGAAGGAAGGAAAGACUACUGGGAAGAAAGCUGCCACUCACUCUGGCCACAUGUUACACACAAUGGUGACAACAUAAAAACACCUGAGGCACAAGAAAUCCUGGUUGCCUCUGCUUUUGUUUUGGAAAAGGAGCUUUCCAAAAUGUUUAUUUCUGGUAAGCUUUUUUUUUUUUUAUCAUGGAAUAUUUCAAACAUAUAUAACAGUAGAAUAAUGUACCAGUUACUCAGCCUCAGAGUGACAACUCAUGCCCAAUCUUGUUUCCUCUACUUCCCACCCCAAUACCCUUAUCUCAUUGGGUUAUUUUAAAGCAAAUCCUAGACACCAUAACGUUUCAACCAUGACUAUUUUGGUAUAUAUUUCUAAAAGAUAAGGGAAUCUUCAAAAGGUUAUAAUAGCCAGAAUGCCAUUAUCACUCCUGGAAAAAUUAUCAUCAAAUUGAUCUAGUCAGCGCCUACAAUUUCCCUGAUUGUCUCCUACAUGUUUUGUACAUCUUAUUAAAAAGGCCAUGUGUGUUUUAAGUCUCUUUUAAUCUAUAGUUUCUCUCUCCCCACAUCUCUGUCUCUGUCUCUCCACCUCUCCACUCUUGCUGUUUAUUAAUAUCUGUGGAAGAAACCCAUUGUUUGUCCAGCAGCAUUUCCCUCAAUCUGGAUUUUGCUGCUUGUAUUCCUGUGGGGUCCUUUAACAUGUUCCUCUGUCUUCGGAAUUUCUUGUAAUUAGAUCUAGAGGCUUGAUCAGGUUCAGGUUUGAUUUUUGGCAGCAAUACUUCACAGGAGGUAUCGCGCUGUGUCCUUUUGUCAGGAGGCCCAUAAUGUCUUGUGAGCUCUUUUUUUGGGUGAAGUUUGUAGCUGUGGAUGUUCACUGCCUAGAUUCACUAUCUCAUUAAGGCUUGCAAAAUGAUGAUGCUUUUUUUUUGUUUAGCCAGGGUUUUGUUCUGUCACCUUGGCUGGAAUGCAGUGUGGGAUCUUGGCUCACUGCAGCCUUAAUCUCCUGGGCUCAAGUGAUCCUCUCACCUCAGCCUCCCAAGUAGCUGGGACUACAGGCAUGUGCCACCACACCCAGCUAAUUUGGUGUUCUAAUUCUAUCUUCCUUCUUCAUUUAUUAGCUGGAAUACUUGAAAAAGGGCAUCUCCUCAUUAACUCUUUAGUUACCCCAAGGCGCAGUAUGCCCUCUUUCAGUAUAUACACUAUAGACAGUGCAAGACUUGGCUCUUUAAUGGCUUUCAAAUAAUGAGUUUGUUUCCUAGCAUCCUGAGAGGUUUUUUUUUAAAAUUGAUUUUUAAAAAAGUAUCAUUAUGGGGCCGAGCUUGGUGAUUUACACCUGUAAUCUCAGCACUUUGGGAGGCUGAGGUGGGAGGAUCACUUGAGCCCAGGAGUUCAGGACCAGCCUGGGCUGGCAAGAACCUGUCUCUACAGAAAAUACAAAAAUUAGCCAUGGAGCACAUACCUGUAGUCCCAGCUACUUGGGGAGCUGAGGUAGGAGGAUUACUUGAGCCCAGAGGUCCAGGCUGCAGUGAGCCAAAAUCGCGCCACUGCACUCCAGCCUGGGCAACAGAAUGAGACCCCACCCCUCAACCUCUCUCAAAAAAACAGUAUCAUUAUGAAUAUAGGGACUGAAUGCUAUUUGAUGUGUUUCAGUCCCCUGUGAUUCUUAUUCUUAUUGCUGUUCAAAUGAUCCUAUUCAGCCAGAGAGAACCUCUUUGGAUUGGUUCCUGAUGUCUUUGACCCCAGUUGGCUUUGAUGGCUUCCUUGCUUUCUGGAACAGCAAGGUGCCCCAGACUCAUCUUGUACACUUGCUGCUCCAAACCUGGAAUCAGCCAUCUGUCUAAGGAGUCCUGGUUCCUUUGAGUGAGGAAUAUUAUUUAGAAAGCACGAUCUUGUUUUAUGCAAUGCUCAUUACUAUUGGGUUGGUCAUUGUUUCUGGGCAUUUUGAGUGAAUAGAGCUCAGAAAUACAUUUUUUAAAAGGUAAAAUGCAUCACAAAUUAUGAUUACCAAAACUUGGAAGCAGCAAGAUGUUCUUCAGUAGGUGACUGGGUAAACAAACUAUGGUACAUCCAGACAAUGGAAUAUUAUGCAGCGCUUAAAAGGAAGAGUUACCAAGCAAUGAAAAGACACAGGAGAACCUUAAAUGCAUAUUGUUGGGUGGAAGAAGCCAGUCUGUAAAGGCUACACAGAUGAUUCUAACUAUACAAAAAGGCAACACUAUCAAGACAGUAAAAGAUCCAUAGAUUCCAAGUGUUUGGGGGAGGGAGGGCUGGACAGGGGGCACACAGGAUUAGUGAAACUACUCUGUAUGAUAUUAUAAUAGUAGAUAUAUGUCAUUAUACAUUUGUUCCAACCCAUAGAAUGUAAAUCAAGAGUGAAUUUGAAUGUAAACUGUGGACUUUAGUCAAUGUCUCAUUAUUGAUGUAUCAGUUGUAACAAAUGUAUGCCAUUAUGCAAUGUCACUGGUCUGAUUUUUAAAAAAGAGCCCUCCAUUAAUGAAAGAUGUUCACAACAGGGGAAACUGGGAGGGGGUUGGGGAGAUGAAGGGAUAUACGGGAACUCUCUAUUUUCUGCUGAAUUUUUCUGUAAACCUGAAACUGCUAAAAAAAUAAAGUCUACUAAUGUGCUUAAAAAAUCAUGAGUUCAUAUUGACACUUCUAAUUUAAAUUCAGGAUCACCAUGUUUUUACUUAGCCUUGUCUGUUCUUUCUCCCAUGAGAAAUGCCCUUUCUUUUCAGUUCCCAGUGAAAGAUAAACUCAUCUGUUGAGUCUGACCCACUUCACACUCUCAGAUAAGAAUGCCAGUACUAUCAUGUCUUAGUCCAUCUGGGCAGCUGUAACAAAAUACCUUAGACUGGAUAAUUUGUAAAUAAUAAAAA